GGCCAGAGCUUGGCCACCUGACCCUCCCUAGUUGCAAGGGAGGCUGGAAAUGUUUAACCGGGGCCCAGGGAGAAGAGACAGCCUGUUUGUUGAACAGGUGUCCUCCCUCUGCCACAAAGGGUGCCUACAGCUACUCUGAAAGAGCUCUGGGGAAAGCUGUUGAGAGUCCUCAAGUAGACAUUUUCCUUCCUCCUUUUGUAGACUCAGCCUCUAAGGUGCUCUGCUGCUACUAAGAAGGCAGACCUUUGCUCUGGCGUCAGACAGGUGGGACUUCAAGCCCAAGCUCUACCGAACAGGGUCACACCUGGGGAUCGUAGAGAGAUGCUAUGGCCCCAGAAGAAAGAAAAACAAAGGCUGUGGAAGAAUAAUGUAUUGCAGCCUUUUCCCUUGCAGUGUUUUAGCUCUCAAGAGUGAAAUAAUUACAACAGACCUCAUUUGAGGCAAAGGAAACUGAUGAAAGCAGAAGCCUGAGGCCAGAGACACGGGCAGGCAGCCCUGGGCCGUCACAUCCGGAACGCAGGCCCCAUGGCACGCUAACGACAUCGAGGACUUCGUUGGCCAACCUUGGUUUACCAAGGCAGUGCCAGUUUACUCGCAUCACUCUGGCAUAAUUAUUGAUGGCAUCCCUUCCACUUUCAACCGCAUCCUGGGUUGGAGUUUGAUUUAUAUGGUCAUCCCAUCUGCGAUUCCAGACAAGGAUUCUUUACUCCUCUGGACUUCAGUUUCCAAAACUUGAAAAAGGAUACAGGAUGAGGUAUUUUAGGAGGUUCUUUUUGUAAUGUUUAUGUGCUUUCCAUUUCAAAGUCUUAAAACUGAAUUCUAAAGUCAUCUGAUCAAGAAAAUUAGAAGAUCUUUCAACUUCGGGGCGCCUGGGUGGAUCAGUUGUUAAGUAGCCAACUUCGGCUCGGGUCAUGACCUCACGACUCAUGGGUUUGAGCCCUGCGUCGGGCUCUGUGCUGACAGCUCAGGGCCUGGAGCCUGUUUCAGAUUCUGUGUCUCCCUCUCUCUACCCCUCCCGCUCUUGCUGUCUUUCUCAAAAAUAAACUUUUUUUUUUUUAAUCUUUCAACUUCUAUCCACCUUCCUCCCUUCUAUAAAUGAAUGUAUACCCCAAUCAGUUUAGAUCCCACCUAACUAGAUCAACAUCACCGACUUUUAAGGGUCAAUAAGAGUAUCCUAGGGGACACCUGGGUGGCUCGGUCAGUUAAGCAUCUGACUCUUGAUUUCAGCUCAGGUCAUGAUCUCACAGUGGUGAGAUCAAGCCCC